AGCCCAAGAUUGAAAGCUGGCGCCUUCGGCGUCCGCAUUGUAAUCUCAAGAAGUGUUUUCCGCUUCGGACCAUGCCUAAGUCCCUUGGAAAAGGGCAUCAUAGAGGGUGAUAAUCCCGUACAUGGCAUGGAGCGCCCGAAGCUUUGUGAUACGCUUUCUAAGAGUCGAGUUGUUUGGGAAUGCAGCUCAAAAUGGGUGGUAAAUGCCAUCUAAGGCUAAAUAUUGGGGAGAGACCGAUAGCGAACAAGUACAGUGAUGGAAAGAUGAAAAGAACUUUGAAAAGAGAGUUAAACAGUACGUGAAAUUGCCAAAAGGGAAGGGUAGGAGGUCAGAGAUGCGGCCUGGGAUUCAGCCUUGCUUUUGCUUGGUGUUUUUCCCAGAUUGCAGGCCAACGUCGGUUUUGGGCACUGGAGAAGGGUAGGAGGAACGUGGCACCUCUCGGGGUGUGUUAUAGCCUCCUACUGGAUACAGCGACCGAGACCGAGGACAGCAGCGUACUCGCAAGAGCGGGCCUUCGGGCACCUUUACGCUUAGGGCGUUGGCAUAAUGGCCCUCUACCACCCGUC
rnacentral:rRNA from 1 species